rnacentral:rRNA from 1 species
UGAUGUACCUAAUAAUAUUAGAAAUCAGUAUGAAAUUAACUAAGUUAAUUAAAGUUCUAAGUGGGUGUUUGAUUAUGACAACACCUAUAUAAGUCUUGACCAAGUCACGUGCCAGCAGUCGCGGUAAUACGUGGAAGACAAGUGUUAUUCAUCUUUAUUGGGUUUAAAGGGUACCUAGACAGUUAAUUAAGCAAUAAACUGUACUAAUUAACUAGAGUUUAAUGUAAGAAGGGUUGAGUACGGUGAGAGUAGAGAUAAAA